rnacentral:rRNA from 1 species
CAGAGGGUGCGAGCGUUAAUCGGAAUUACUGGGCGUAAAGCGCGCGUAGGCGGCUUUUCAAGUCGAUUGUGAAAUCCCCGGGCUUAACCUGGGAACUGCAGUCGAGACUGUCUAGCUAGAGUAUGGGAGAGGGAAGUGGAAUUUCAGGUGUAGCGGUGAAAUGCGUAGAUAUCUGAAGGAACAUCAGUGGCGAAAGCGACUUCCUGGACCAAUACUGACGCUCAUGUGCGAAAGCGUGGGGAGCAAACAGGAUUAGAUACCCUGGUAGUCCACGCCAUAAACGAUGAGGACUGGAUGUCGGGAGGGUCUGCCUCUCGGUGUCGUAGCUAACGCGUUAAGUUCUCCGCCUGGGGAGUACGGCCGCAAGGUUG